rnacentral:rRNA from 1 species
GACGUAGGGGGCCAGCGUUGCUCGGAAUUACUGGGCGUAAAGCGCACGCAGGCGGUUCGCCAAGUUUGGAGUGACAGUUGUCGGCUCAACCGACAAAGGACUUCAAAAACUGGUGAACUUGAGGACGAGAGAGGAACAUGGAACUCCAGGUGUAGUAGUGAAAUGCGUAGAUAUCUGGAAGAACACCAAUGGCGAAGGCAAUGUUCUGGCUCGUUUCUGACGCUCAGGUGCGAAAGCCAGGGGAGCGAACGGG